GACGAACGCUGGCGGCGUGCUUAACACAUGCAAGUCGAACGGAAAGGCCCUGCUUUUGUGGGGUGCUCGAGUGGCGAACGGGUGAGUAACACGGGAGUAACCUGCCCUUGACUUUGGGAUAACUUCAGGAAACUGGGGCUAAUACCGGAUAGGAGCUCCUGCUGCAUGGUGGGGGUUGGAAAGUUUCGGCGGUUGGGGAUGGACUCGCGGCUUAUCAGCUUGUUGGUGGGGUAGUGGCUUACCAAGGCUUUGACGGGUAGCCGGCCUGAGAGGGUGACCGGCCACAUUGGGACUGAGGUACGGCGCAGACUCCUACGGGAGGCAGCAGUGGGGAAUAUUGCACAAUGGGCGGAAGCCUGAUGCAGCAACGCCGCGUGCGGGAUGACGGCCUUCGGGUUGUAAACCGCUUUAGCCUGUGACGAAGCGUGAGUGACGGUAAUGGGUAAAGAAGCACCGGCUAACUACGUG
rnacentral:rRNA from 1 species